AAACCAACUGAUCUGUACCAAGCCAUAUAAGUACGACUUGGUUUUACCUCAGUUGGCAUGACUGCGUCAGUUAAGACAUGGUCAUGACGAUGCUUCCAUUUACGACACUCCGAUCUUGCGAAGCUUUGCCAUGGAUUGAAGUUCCAUUGGUCGUUAACUUUACGCAGAUGCCAUUCUCCUAGGCUAGCUAGGGGAUCUGGGAUAUUCUGGAC
rnacentral:lncRNA from 1 species